rnacentral:rRNA from 1 species
CGGGUGAGUAACACGUGAGCAAUCUGCCCCUGACUCUGGGAUAAGCGCUGGAAACGGCGUCUAAUACCGGAUAUGAGCUGCGGCCGCAUGGUCGGCAGUUGGAAAGAUUUUUCGGUCAGGGAUGAGCUCGCGGCCUAUCAGCUUGUUGGUGAGGUAAUGGCUCACCAAGGCGUCGACGGGUAGCCGGCCUGAGAGGGUGACCGGCCACACUGGGACUGAGACACGGCCCAGACUCCUACGGGAGGCAGCAGUGGGGAAUAUUGCACAAUGGGCGGAAGCCUGAUGCAGCAACGCCGCGUGAGGGAUGACGGCCUUCGGGUUGUAAACCUCUUUUAGCAGGGAAGAAGCGAAAGUGACGGUACCUGCAGAAAAAGCGCCGGCUAACUACGUGCCAGCAGCCGCGGUAAUACGUAGGGCGCAAGCGUUAUCCGGAAUUAUUGGGCGUAAAGAGCUCGUAGGCGGUCUGUCGCGUCUGCUGUGAAAACCCGAGGCUCAACCUCGGGCCUGCAGUGGGUACGGGCAGACUAGAGUGCGGUAGGGGAGAUUGGAAUUCCUGGUGUAGCGGUGGAAUGCGCAGAUAUCAGGAGGAACACCGAUGGCGAAGGCAGAUCUCUGGGCCGUAACUGACGCU